rnacentral:rRNA from 1 species
UACGUUCCCGGGUCUUGUACACACCGCCCGUCACACCAUGGGAGCGGGUUUUACCAGAAGUAGGUAGCUUAACCGCAAGGGGGCGCUUACCACGGUAGGAUUCGUGACUGGGGGUG